GAUGAACGCUGGCGGCGUGCCUAAUACAUGCAAGUCGAGCGAACGGACGAGAAGCUUGCUUUUCUGAUGUUAGCGGCGGACGGGUGAGUAACACGUGGAUAACCUACCUAUAAGACUGGGAUAACUUCGGGAAACAGGAGCUAAUACCGGAUAAUAUUUUGAACCGCAUGGUUCAAAAGUGAAAGACGGUCUUGCUGUCACUUAUAGAUGGAUCCGCGCUGCAUUAGCUAGUUGGUAAGGUAACGGCUUACCAAGGCAACGAUGCAUAGCCGACCUGAGAGGGUGAUCGGCCACACGGGAACUGAGACACGGUCCAGACUCCUACGGGAGGCAGCAGUAGGGAAUCUUCCGCAAUGGGCGAAAGCCUGACGGAGCAACGCCGCGUGAGUGAUGAAGGUCUUCGGAUCGUAAAACUCUGUUAUUAGGGAAGAACAUAUGUGUAAGUAACUGUGCACAUCUUGACGGUACCUAAUCAGAAAGCCACGGCUAACUACGUG
rnacentral:rRNA from 1 species